GCGUCGAUGGUUUAGUGGUAAAAUUCUCCGUUGCCAUCCAGCAGCGUCGGGGAGCCGGGGGUUCGACUCCCCCUCGACGCA
rnacentral:tRNA from 1 species